AUAAACGCUAGCGGCAGGCCUAACACAUGCAAGUCGAGGGGCAGCGUAACGGGUAGCAAUACCUGUUGACGGCGACCGGCGCACGGGUGCGUAACGCGUAUGUAACCUACCGUUCACAGGGGGAUAGUCAGAGGAAACUUUGAAUAAUACCGCAUAAAACAGGGGUCCGGCAUCGGAAUAUUUGUUAAAGGUGGUGACACGGUGAACGAUGGGCAUGCGUUCGAUUAGAUAGUUGGUGAGGUAACGGCUCACCAAGUCUACGAUCGAUAGGGGGUCUGAGAGGAUUAUCCCCCACACUGGUACUGAGAUACGGACCAGACUCCUACGGGAGGCAGCAGUGAGGAAUAUUGGGCAAUGGGCGAAAGCCUGACCCAGCCAUGCCGCGUGCAGGAAGACGGCCCUAUGGGUUGUAAACUGCUUUUACUCGGGAAGAAUAAGGGUUACGUGUAACCCGAUGACGGUACCGAAAGAAUAAGCAUCGGCUAACUCCGUGCCAGCAGCCGCGGUAAUACGGAGGAUGCGAGCGUUAUCCGGAAUUAUUGGGUUUAAAGGGUCCGCAGGCGGACAGGUAAGUCAGUAGUGAAAAACCGGGGCUUAACCCCGGUCGUGCUACAGAAACUGCCUGACUAGAGAAAGUUUGGCGUUGGCGGAAUGUGACAAGUAGCGGUGAAAUGCAUAGAUAUGUCACAGAACACCGAUAGCGAAAGCAGCUGACGAAGACUAUUCUGACGCUCAGGGACGAAAGCGUGGGGAGCAAACAGGAUUAGAUACCCUGGUAGUCCACGCAGUAAACGAUGGGUACCAUCUUUUUGUCCGCAAGGAUGAGAGGAUCAUCGAAAGAGAUAAGUACCCCACCUGGGGAGUACGUGCGCAAGCAUGAAACUCAAAGGAAUUGACGGGGGCCCGCACAAGCGGUGGAGCAUGUGGUUUAAUUCGAUGCAACGCGAAGAACCUUACCUGGUCUUGACAUCCACGGAAGUUUUCAGAGAUGAGAAUGUGCCUUCGGGAACCGUGAGACAGGUGCUGCAUGGCUGUCGUCAGCUCGUGUUGUGAAAUGUUGGGUUAAGUCCCGCAACGAGCGCAACCCUUAUGGUCAGUUACUACGCAAGAGGACUCUGGCCAGACUGCCGUUGACAAAACGGAGGAAGGUGGGGAUGACGUCAAAUCAGCACGGCCCUUACGUCCGGGGCUACACACGUGUUACAAUGGCAGGUACAGAGAGAUGGUGUUCUGCAAAGCGCAUCUAAUCCUUAAAGCCUGUCUCAGUUCGGACUGGGGCCUGCAACCCGACCCCACGAAGCUGGAUUCGCUAGUAAUCGCGCAUCAGCCAUGGCGCGGUGAAUACGUUCCCGGGCCUUGUACACACCGCCCGUCAAGCCAUGGAAGUCUGGGGGACCUGAAGACGGUAACCGCGAGGAGCCGUUAAGGGUAAAACAGGUAACUAGGGCU
rnacentral:rRNA from 1 species